GAAGGGCAGAUCGAAUGUGGAUUAAAACUUAGGUGUAGCCAGGCACUGAAAGACGAGAUCGAAGUGGAAGCGGAAGAAAUCGCGACGAGAGGAAGGCGCGCCUAGCGAGAACUGGAGAAGGUACAGAAACAGCAGGGGCCGGACGGGCUGGCCGCAUCUUCCUCGUUCGCUAGACCAAUCGGAGGCGCCACGACCAAAAGGCUCUUCCCAAGCUGGGCUGCGGGCUGGAGGAGGAAGCGCCAGUAUGAUGGCGAAGAAAUCUCCGGCGCUGCUGAUANAAAUAAAGCAUGAGGUGAAAGGCAAGGACAAGAAACCCCGAGGGGAGCUGGAGGAGAACGACCCUUCGCGCUUCUCCACUCCUUCCUCGUUCGUCGGGCCUCUUAUGUACCACGGAGGGAACCUCUUCCUGCGCGCCCUGCGGGGCAUGGAGAGCGAAGACCUGGAAAAAUUCGCGCGCUACCUCCGCGCCUUGCCGUCCUUCCCUCCCUCCGAGGCGUCGCUGGAGGCAGCAAAUGUUAAGCAGCUGCAAGAGUUGCUGCUCGGCCGCUUCGACGUGGUCGAGGCCUUGGAUGUGACCGAGCAAGGGCUCAGGGCGAUCGGCCUGCCCCGCCGGGCGGACUGGCUCCGCUUAGCCGUCCUGGGGUUCAGCCCCGUGGAAUGCCUGAGAGGGACGCUGCGGAGUCUGGAGACCGAGCAGGCCGAGCGGUUGCAGCGCAAACUGCGCUCCUUCUCCAGCCACCGAAAUGACUCGGGUUCGAUCCCCGAGGGCAAUCGCAGGUCGCUGGCGGCAGAACUUGCGAGGCUUCUCGACUUGCAGGAGGAGGAAGAUUUUAUAGCGCUGGCCGAGUGGCUCAUCCGUGUCUACGGCGGGGUCAGUGCCCUGGAGGUAGCGGCCGAGGGGCUGGAGGGGAUCGGCCAGGCUGUGUGUGGAGGAGCUCUCCUCGGUGAAACGCCUGGAGGACGCGCUGGCUCGCUUGGGGAAAAGGAAGCUGAAGCGGUUCAAGCGCAAACUCUGCGACCUUCCCGUCCAGGAAGGCAUGGAGCGGAUCUCCGAGGCGCUGCAGGGAAACGUCUGAGAAAUCAGUGCGAUAAUAAUCAGAUUCUACGGCGGGCGCGCCGCACUAGAAAUGGGGGCCGAAGCGCUGAAGGCCCUGGGCCGCGAGUCCCUGGCGGACAGUCUCUCAUCCCCCACUGGGAAGGGCAAGGAUCAAGAUCUUGCUGACAUUUUUAACACUGAUGUAUUGGAGUCAAAGUCUUCUUUUCUUGGGAAGAAAGAAAGGAGUGAGGAGAUGGAGAAUCCAAUAGAUANAGAGGAACAUUUUCUGUGUAGUAGGUGUUCCAGUGAGGUGAGGUGCUGAACAUUUUGCUUUGUAUUGCUUACUCUCAGGAAAGA
rnacentral:lncRNA from 1 species